rnacentral:rRNA from 1 species
AGGGCACCACCAGGAGUGGAGCCUGCGGCUUAAUUUGACUCAACACGGGGAAACUUACCCGGCCCGGACACUGGAAGGAUUGACAGAUUGAGAGCUCUUUCUUGAUUCAGUGGGUGGUGGUGCAUGGCCGUUCUUAGUUGGUGGAGCGAUUUGUCUGGUUAAUUCCGAUAACGAACGAGACUCUAGCCUAUUAAAUAGGCUCCCGGCUUUUAAACGCCGGGAGGACUUCUUAGAGGGACAGGUGGCGGUUCAGCCGCACGAAAGAGAGCAAUAACAGGUCUGUGAUGCCCUUUGUUGUCCGGGGCCGCACGCGCGCUACACUGAAGAGAUCAGCGUGCUUUACGUUCCUGCUCCGACCGGAGUGGGGAACCCAGUGAACCUUCUUCGUGAUUGGGAUAGAAGAUUGUAAUUAUUCUUCUUGAACGAGGAAUUCCCAGUAAAUGCGAGUCAUAAGCUCGCGUUGAUUACGUCCCUGCCCUUUGUACACACCGCCCGUCGCUACUACCGAUUGAACGAUUU